rnacentral:sRNA from 1 species
GCCUGGUGUGGUGGGGCACACUUGUAAUCCCAGGGGCUUGGGAGGCUGAGGCAGGAGGAUUGAGAGUUCAAAGCUAGCCUCAGCAAUUUAAAGAGGCCCUAAGCAACUCAACAAGAACCUGUCUCUA